GUCAUACUUAAAAACAAAUACCAAGGUUGAAACUAAAACGCUUGAAAAUAUGACAAAUCUCGUGAAAAGCAUUAACAUUUUUAUUGCAACACAUGGAUACGAGAAACCUUUUUCACCGCCAUCAUUUUACACUAUAUUUAAUGAGGAAAUUCUUUCUGAUAUCUCCCCUCAAUCACAGACAAGCUGUACAGACGAAAACGAUGGACCAUACGGACCACAGUAUAACAUUACCAACUCACUACCCAAAAGACGACACACUGUUUAAUGUACUUUUGUGUAAAAUAAAAACAAGUCAGUUAUUUUUUAGUAUAUGAAGUAUUCUAUUUUUAUUUGAAUACUACGUUUGAAGAAUUAAUUA